rnacentral:lncRNA from 1 species
AUGACAUUUUCUAAGGAAAUCAAUCUGAAGAUUUUCUUCCCACACCUAUUAAGAAUACCAGAAGUUGUUUUGACGAAGUAAAGGAUUAAGUGUGCAUGCAGCUGCUACCCUCUGUGUCUUGUUGACAUGUGACAAAAUCGUGGGUGCUUAGGACCACAGCAGACUGACAGAAAUGACUGCAGGAAUGGGCUGCCUCAGACUGAGGUGGAGUGAGCCUCCAUGUGCAGGCAUUUUGGAUUCUUGGGAUAUAGUGGGAGACAGGAACGGAAAAAUAGUCAAAGAAAUCUGAAGAGGAGACAAAGUCCUGAACUUCGGGAGGGAUGCCUGGUGCUGAUGCUGAGGUCUGGCCCACGGAGCCUGAAGGUUACACUGAACCUAGAGAUCAUCUACCCAAGGGAUUCUCUGAUCACCACCCUCUCACAGCUUGGAUUACAGGCAUGAGCUACAAGACCCUGCUUUUUAUACCAUACUGGGGACCAACACUUGAAUCUUUAUGCUUGCAUGGCAAGCACUUUUCAGACUGAGGCAUCCCCCCAUUCCACCCAUAUGCAUUCUUGAAAAAGGGAAUCAGACUUUUGCUCGAAGCUGGCCUUUUAAGUGGACAGAGUGAGAUUUCAGUUCAACAUCUCCCCACUCCUUCUCAGCAAGAUCUGAAAUUCCUGUCUCUAGGAACAGUGUUUUGUUUCACAAUGGAAAGGAAUGAGCUUGAAACACAGAGGCUGGCGUUCUGAAUCACAGAUGGUGAAUGGGCAGUGUUUAUCCGUGUUGGUGAGCAGCACCAUGUCCCUUGAGAUGAAUGGGAAGUUAAAGCACAAGAAAGCCCACAGUGCCUGAUAAGGUGCAGAGAGAUUCAACAGGAAGAGGAGGAAGGAAGAGCAGGGUGAUGAUGUCAAAGACCAAGCCUAACUCCACAGUUUGCUCAAAGGCAACUCAGUCCAGUUUGAAGUCACCUGGACACCUAGAGCCAGUGUGUGUUCAGAUGUGGGCCUAGGAAGACCAGCAAUGAAGAAGCAAGCUUGACAAGUGCACAUGACCAGGGCCCAGAACAGCCCCAUUAACUGCACUUCAAAUACUGGCUAAGCCAAAAGGAAUGGUCUUCAAACCUGCCUGCCUUAAAAGCUCCACUCAGUUCAGUUAUACACAGCAAAUGUCAUCCUCUCCUAAAACAGCCUGUGACAAUGAAAAGGUUCCAUCUUCAACACAGUGAUUUACUUUUCUGGGAGAGACCUUGAAAGCACAAAGGAAAGUUUAAUUCAGG